UUUUUCAAACCAACAGCUAAAUUCGUGGAAUCAACACUAGAAAUAAGAAUAAUCUUCACAAGGAUUUAAAGUCACUUAGUCUUGUACAAAAAGGUGUGCAUUAUUCAGGAACACACAUUUUCAAUAACUUGCCAGCAGCCAUGAAAAGCUUAACAACCAAUGAAAUUCAGCUUAAGAGAAGCUAAAGGAUUUAUUGGUGGCCAACUCCUACUCCAUUGAUGAAUUUCUCAGUAAAACCAACUGAUUUGUAUUUAAGUACAAUAUAACUUCUGCACAAUUUCAGUGCAGUAAUGUGUUCAUUCAAAAUUUGUGUGUGUACACUCAGUAUGAUGACUUAGUCCAGUAGUGACGCUGCCUCAGAAACAGUUACACAGCUGUACAUUGCAGCUGCCAUCCUGUGGACAUGUCUUCAGGUCUGUGAUGAAGAAGUUCGAAUCAACUAGAGAACUGGGCAUCGCUCCGGGAAGAGACUGACGACUGGUUGCACCACAUUGGUUGAUGAAAUCGCUGUUGCUAUGGCAGACAAUGCUGCAUGCAAUUCCCUAUUGUCAGGCAGUGCACAGGUGGUAUCACAACAGUUGAAUUACCUGUGGUCCACUGUAAGGAGGGUGCUUGGAACCAUUCUCAAAUGGUAUCCGUAAAAGAUCCAUAUUAUACAGCAGCUUGCACCAGAGGACGCACAAAGAUGUGUUGACUUCAUUCUCCACUUUCUCGCAAGGAUUGAAGUUGACAAGGGCUGGCCCUGGAUCAUCCUAUGGACAGACGAGGCUCAUUUUUCUCUGACGGGUGAGGUGAACACACAGAAUUGCCGAGUGUGGGGAUCUUCACCUCCAGCCACUGCCGAUGAAGUUCCUCUGUAUGGUGAAUGUGUCACCAUCUAGUGUGGCUUCAUGGCUGCUUUCAUCACUGCCCCAUUCUUUUUUAAACAGGUUAGCGCUCAAGGACCAAAGAUUGCAGUGCGACUAGCCAGCAUUACUGCAAUAUGCUUCAUCAGCAUGUCAUACCUGCCCUACAGGAGAGAGACGCACUGAACUCAAGAAUUUUCACGCAAGAUUGGACUCCACCGCACAAUGCUCGUGAAGUUCACCUGCUUCUUUGAAACACAUUUAAAAACGAUUGAAUUAUGAGCCAACUGCUUUCAUAUGCUUGGGCAGCAAGAUCAACUCAUCUUACUCCCUGUGAUAUCUGGUUGUGAGGCUACCUGAAGGACAGGGUUUACCAGGGGAACAUUCACACAUGUGCUGAUCUGAAGCACAGCAUAUCAAGAGAGGUAGCCAGCAUGCCUACAGACAUGCUUCGUUCUGCUGUGCAGGGUGCAAUCCUGUGCUUUCAGACUCUUCUGGACACUGAUGGGCACCUUAUGUAGCCCCUUUUGUAGCAGUAAUGGUACUGGUAUGUAAUGGUAUGAUGUA